rnacentral:rRNA from 1 species
UACGUAGGAUCCGAGCGUUGUCCGGAAUUACUGGGUGUAAAGGGCGUGUAGGUGGAACUUUAAGUCGGUGGUGAAAGCCUGCAGCUUAACUGCAGAACUGCCCUCGAUACUGAAGUUCUUGAGUGCGGCAGAGGGAGAUGGAAUUCAUGGUGUAGCGGUGAAAUGUGUAGAUAUCAUGAAGAACACCGGUAGCGAAGGCGGUCUCCUGGUCCGUAACUGACACUGAGGCGCGAAAGCGUGGGGAGCAAACAGG